UACGUAGGUGGCAAGCGUUGUCCGGAUUUACUGGGCGUAAAGGGCGCGCAGGCGGUCGUUCAAGUCGUGUGUGAAAGCCCCCGGCUCAACUGGGGAGGGUCACGCGAUACUGAUCGACUCGAAGGCAGGAGAGGGUAGUGGAAUUCCCGGUGUAGUGGUGAAAUGCGUAGAUAUCGGGAGGAACACCAGUGGCGAAGGCGACUACCUGGCCUGUUCUUGACGCUGAGGCGCGAAAGCUAGGGGAGCAAACGGG
rnacentral:rRNA from 1 species